UACAGGGGGGGCAAGCGUUGUUCGGAAUUACUGGGCGUAAAGGGCUCGUAGGUGGCCAACUAAGUCAGACGUGAAAUCCCUCAGCUUAACUGGGGAACUGCGUCUGAUACUGGUUGGCUUGAGUGCAGGAGAGGAACGCGGAAUUCCAGGUGUAGCGGUGAAAUGCGUAGAUAUCUGGAGGAACACCGGUGGCGAAGGCGGCGUUCUGGACUGCAACUGACACUGAGGAACGAAAGCCAGGGGAGCAAACGGG
rnacentral:rRNA from 1 species